ensembl:lncRNA
ACAAAACCAUAUUUGAUAACCAGGGUACAUUUAAUUGUACUUUGCUACCGUAGGUAAAGAAAUCAGUGAAUUCCUCUUGCAUUUCUCCAAACAAGGAUCCAACACUGACCUCUAGUGGUUAUUGAGGAUUAGGACAUGCCUCCGUUGCCUAAAGGCGUGUAGGUGGAAAUUAUAUCGAAAUGCUUAUAUAUUAUAACAUUAAAACGUCCUCCUGAACAGGAAAACAAACGCCAGGUAUUUCAUAAACUAACACACGUUACAAGGAGUAACACAAAAAAGUAUGUGAAAUAUAAAUAUUACAGUUUAAACCUUGCAAACAUUCAGAAAAGACUUAAUUGUAUCAAUUGUUUUUGCUUUCAAAUUAAAUGUGUAGCUCAUAUAGGCGGCGUGAAUAAACAUCUAAUAAAGUUACUGUAAUGUGACCUAAAUGUGGUUCCAGGGAGUGUACUAUAUGUUAAGAGAUCCGUACAACGGUGUGAUGACUUGUACACAUACUAUUAUGCUUAAUCUUAUAAUCUGUCAACAGUGCUGUUAGAGAAUGUAAAAUAAAUUAUAUUUCAAGGUUAGAGACAUUCCUUAUUAUGUAGUAAUAUAACAGCACAAUGUAAAUGUAGUGCAAAAUAGGAAUUAUGAUUAUAUUCUGUGCAAUUUAGGCAAACGUUUGCCUAGAAUAAAUACAUAACUGUUUUCCAUAUGACCAUGAAUCAUUCAAUUUGUGAUUAUUAAAUAGCUUCACUGUUAUUAUUGUAAACACAAACAUUGAUUCUGUCCUUGCUCAGGUUGUCCGUUGGCGCCACAGAUCUUUAGUGGCAAACAGAGAAUAUGCGACCCAGUAAAGUAUUAUUCUGUCACUGCCUACAUUGUCCACAAGGGCGCAGCAGACUCUAACAAAUACACAAACCCCAACCCUGCACUAACAGUCAACGUCAAUAUGUUUGUUUGUCCUGACACUAUUCCACGCAGCCCAUUAGCCAGUGCAGACAUUUCAAUCCUCAUGCCGAUGAAGUGCAGGAUUGUCUUGUUUCUCCUUCACAGCCCGUUGGACGAGCGACGCCUCGCGAUGACGGCCUGACGUCUGGACGACUUACGGAGGCGUCACAGCGUUUUGCCCCAGCGGGCUUCUCUGUUUCCUCUGGUCAGGGACACCGACAGCCGCUUCCACGCUGAGUCCGUCAGAAGAUCAGGGACGACCACCUGACUCACAGGCCUAGACACCGGGGGGGAGCGCCGGGCCUCAGGGGCCUGCUGCUUUUAUCGGACACGAUCGUUUCUGUGCACCGCUCCGACACAAUUACACUUCUUGUGUGAGAAGCAGUGCAGCUCAACCUCAUUCGGUCUCCCUCAAAGAAAGAAGUGAAACAGAGACAUUCAAAUCUGUCGCAGAGCUUUACACGGAUCAUCCACACUAGCACUGAGACGUCGCGUGAGGAGCCCGGUGGUCUGCUGUGUCCCGGGGAGGUCACAGAGGGAAUUUCACGCUCCUCUUCACACUGAAAAUGUCUCCUUUAUCCUUCACACUGAGAACCAAGGAAACGGGAAGAAUGAAAGGGUGGAGUGAAUGGAAUUUUUUUUUAAACGGGAGCAAACUCCUGAAUAAGGAUUGCUAACUUGUGCAGGUGUGACUUGUCAGAGUGGGGGGGCAAGCGACACCCAGCAGAGUAAAGGACAUAUGUGGUCACCGGUUGAGUGGAAGGGGACGUAUUUGAGAGGCGAAACGGGGAGAAAGGAAAUUCUCCUGCCAGAAGUGUGGUCAGUUUGCGCUUAUAACGAAGCAGGUGAAGGAUGGCCGGGGGGGGGUCACAGGGUUUAAAGGACAGUUAGACGUGGUCCCCCGAGGGGGGAAUGGCGGGCCCCGUACGGCACACGGAGUUAAAAGUGAAAGAGCCUGAAGACCCGAAGCAGAGGGAGGCUUAUCAAACAAUACAUGCUUCAAGUGCCAGAGCCAGAAGCAUCAUUGUGACAAAUCUUAUUUUCAUGUUCACCACUUUGUCUAAAGCCCCCCCUCCUCCCCCCAACCGCCGACGCUCUCACUCGAGCACAAGCUGUCCGUCUCUCUCAGCAUCCCACUUCCCGAUGACUCCCAAAUGGGAUAAACACCCUCAUUUACACAGAGGGACGCACACACACACACACACACACACACACACACACACACACACAGGCACGCACACCAAGUUGCGGUUUCCCGGUAGGAAAUCAGCAAUCUGCUGCCAUAACCCACCAGCAUUUAAACCACCUUCCUUCUAUUUAUUCACUCCCCCCACCCCCCUCCUCUCACGCCUGUUUAAACACCUGAUACCUCCCCUGUGUGCAUCAUUAGGGUGAGAAGACAUUAGGAAAAAAGAACAGUGAAUUCAUUUGAGGGGGUGGUCUGGUGUUGCAGCAUCACAGAGGUCGAGAACGUUGUGCAGCGAGACAGACAUCCUCCUCUGUUUUCCAUUACUGUGGAAAUUGGACACCUCGUUUAGCCAUUUUUGAAAGCACAAGGUCUCAAAAAAAUCAUAUCAAUCCAUGUUAAAUUCCGAGGAGUUACACGUGAGACGACCGGUUAAUUUGACAGCACUUCUUUGACAUGUUCCUCCAUAAUCCCAGAGGAGAAAAUCACAAACGGAGGGAAAAAAGAGUUGACACAGUUCGCCCAGCUUUUCAAACCCUCUCUCGCUCUCUCUCUCUCACACACAUAAACACAUAUGCACAAACACAUACACCUCGAAACAAAGGUGCCAUUUUACUCAGGAAGGGUCAGCAGUUCUCUCCAUCAGACAGAGGCUUGUUCUUGGUCAGAGGCUGCUGCCCAAUCUCAGGCCACCCUCCCCUGGCUCCACCGGCCCCCUCUGGCCCCCCUCUGGCCCCCACCACCCUGGAGACAAGCUCCCCAUUGUUCCUGCACUACUAAUAAAUGACAGUUCUCCUGUUCAGACAAACUUUAGAGCCCAUUCUAAACACACACACACACACACACACACACACGGUGUAACUGAGUGUAACUGGUGCUCUGAAUGAAAGGAUACACUAAAGCUUUUUCUUCUCUUUUUACUACCUGAUAUUGCUCACGGCGAUCGCCUAAUGAUCGAAGGAUAUUUUUAUCGAGUCUUGCGCCCUGCAGACCUGAUGAGGUAAUGCUCUGGCGCACUGGCUACAAGAGGAGGGUGUAAUUAACCUGUAAUAAAAGUGUUCUAUUGCCUUGCCUGCCCACUAUACAGAGACACGGUCAACGGAGGACAUGCCACUCAGUAACCUGCGUGCAAUGUCACACACACACACACACACACACACACACACACGCGCACACACGCCAGGUAUUAAGCUUGAUCAAGGCAACCGAGGUGGGCCUCGGGUUUGGACAUGAUAAAUCACCACUCGACUUAAGCCCAUAAACACACCAUUAACACGCUCGACCACAGCAACUCAAUCUGUUUACCUUAACCACCGUGCUGGGGGGCUAUCGCGCGGGGGUCAGGCCCGUAUUAGCAUGCCUAGCGGAGGGCGGGGGGGGGGGGGGGCUGAUGCACAUGUUCCUCACUGCUGGUGGGCAGCAUUAGCUACUGGCCAAGCAACAUUUUAAAGGAAAUGCUACCCAGAGGAGCAUCAUCUACUGUCAUUAAAGAACAAAACACAGCUGAAUCAGAGUUCAGCAGAAUUGCGAGUGCUGAGAAAGUUCCUCGUUGAACUUGUUGAAAUGCUGAAUGGAGUAAAUACACGGUUGUUAAGUGACUCUGCCCCCCCCUCCGGCCUUUAUGCGGUUCUCUACCGCGGCGGUUCACCACAAGCGUAUCAUAUGACAGCUCAUCCAGCACACUCAGCCGUGCCAGAAAGCAAAUUCCUGCUUUGCAAUUCUCACGGAACCGAGGCAUAAACUCAAAGUAUCCAUUAGAGAAAAAAAUUGCAUUUACUGAAAUAUCCUUUUGCGGCUUUGCUGUCUGAGAGUCGCGGUGGGGCGUGCGGGGCCGCAUCCGCGUUUGCGUGGCGCUUACGCGACGCAUGGGGCGAUGCCGAGCGAGCGGGCAAGAGGAGGAAGAAGAGGCAGAAGUUGGAGUAAAAAAAAUAAAUAAAAAAAGCCCCAGUCUAUAGUCAAGGCCCGCUCGCUGACAGAGUCUGUCUUUGUCUGCCUCCCAGGGUGCCAGAUAAAGGAAUUCUUGUGUGUCGGGGGCUCUGACCGAGUUUAUUUGACACUUCAGCUCCUUUUGUGCAGCAAGUGUCCCACCGUCAAUGCUGGCCAUGAGAGUCACUUGGCAUUAGACAGAGGGUCCCUCUUCAGUGGAGAAAGGGGGUCUUGUGUAUGUGAGAGCGAGGGGGGGGGGGGGGUCUGUGCUCUGUGUUGUGUACAGACGUAUAGUGGGGCUCUGUCCCUUACCCCGACAAUAGAUGGAUUUCUUCGUCGCGAAGGGAAGUGGACGUUAUUGGGGAGGAAGCUCGGAAGCUUCGGCGGACAACUUCCGCUCCCAUGAACGCAACGCGCCGCUACGUCACCGCGUGCUCAUUGAGGAUGGAAAUGCCGACCGGCGUUGCAGGCGCGAACCCCCUUCCCUCACAUAAAUCUGACCGUGCGUGGUUUACGAUGGAGUGAGAUCACGUGCACCUGCUGGUUCCACUCAAAUGAAGCGCCUGCACACCAUCCAAAUGUGUGUGUGUGUGUGUGUGUGUGUGUGUGUGUGUCAGAGCACAGCAGUGAUCUCUGAUUCAUGCCAUGUGGCAGGUAGCGGCGGCAUGAGCCACUGACAGCUGCCUGACAUAACAGGCCUCCCUGUGGGCCAAGUUUCUGAAGACAGAUUUGCUCCCACCUGAAUGGAGUCACUGUGGGAGAGGUGGGUGGAAUUGGUUUCUAUGGUUACUGUAUCCACACUGUUCAUUUUCUUUACUUUGCUGCACCUGGUCUUUCACAACUUGUGACAAGUCGCGGCUCUGUGAAUGGUCUCGGCGCUGCAGGUGGACGCCAGCGUCGAGGUAAGGAAAAGUUUGCUAAAAAGUGUUUUUUAAAAAGGUGUCACUUUGAAAAUGACAUCAGUGAGAGUCAGUUUUGGGGGCAGAUCAGGGCUAAAAUAAAACACACACAUAAACACACACACACACACACACACACACACACACACACUCUCCACAGGCACAGUACAGCCUUACUUGAUAAGAGAUGCCCGUUGGAAUCCCAUGUGAGAGGAGUUGUAAUGUAACAAACGGGUGGAUCGGGAUAUAAAGAAGGAACUUUUGGUCAUAACAGCCUUGUUGUUGCCAAUGGGUUUAUACGGUUUGUGAGAUAGCCGCUUAGUUAUUCAAAUUAAAUGAGAACAUUGAUUUCUGACAGCCAUUAAGACAUAUUGAAGCGACUCUCGCUUGUGAAGCUCUGCAACACGUUCUUCUUAGGAUUUUAUUAUUAACAAGGUAACACUGUAGCACAUAUACGCCGAAACACAACUCCAACAACCCUCCCGCUUUCCCUCAACCCACCCACAAACAUCACCACAACACACCUCCACAGGGGGCACUAUGAUUGACAUACACAAGAUGAGACCUUCACUGACCUCCUAGCCUCAGGAAAAGUGUGACCUCACUCACAGAACACGUCCCGCUAUCAUAACAUCUCACUGACAGAGAGGUACAAGUCGGAGGUGAUUCUCAAAUACCUGCUGGAUGAAGGGAUGCGCCAAGUCACCGCCCGAACUGCUGGUCAUCUGUUGAGCACUUUCAAAUUAUAUUCCGGAAUAUUCCUUUUUCCCCAGUUGCCAAAAUCCAGCUCAACGAAUAUCGAUCUCCAAAAACCGCAUCAUGGUGUGGAUUAUUUGUGACACUGGCCGCGCGCAUCGCAAGAGACGCUCCUGUCCGACCAGCUGCUUGUAGCGCAGAGGGACAAAUGGACACUGUUCAUCCCGUGUCGGAGACAGUAUUUCCUCAUAUCCCACAGGUCGAUGCACAGCCCGGCGCGUUGAAUCCAUCACAAAGUUUCACCCGACGUUUGUAACAACAUGAACUCCUCCAGUGGUGCCACGGCUGUAAAAGAAAAUAGCGUUUAAUCGCGUUAAAGUCUCCAAAAGAAUCCUGGAGUAAAUCCUGUCCAAUCAAGGCGAUAGAUCGGUGGGAUUAGUUCCGAUGAGCAGCAAAGUAGCCGCUUUCGUCCUUGUGGUCCGGCGCAAUGAUGAAGCUGUGACCUGAAGCCGCGGAGCUCGACGCGCUGCGCCGCCGCGCACAGCCGGAGCCGCACUGAGCCAUAGUUGGAGAGCCGCAGCGCAGCAGCGCAGCACAUGCUGCUCCGCGGCUGACGUCAGCGCGCAAGGCAUGAUGGUAAGUGGAGUUUAUU